AGUUUGAUCCUGGCUCAGGACGAACGCUGGCGGCGUGCUUAACACAUGCAAGUCGAACGGAAAGGCCCUUCGGGGUACUCGAGUGGCGAACGGGUGAGUAACACGUGGGUGAUCUGCCCUGCACUUUGGGAUAAGCCUGGGAAACUGGGUCUAAUACCGAAUAUGACCACGCUCUUCAUGGGGUGUGGUGGAAAGCUUUUGCGGUGUGGGAUGGGCCCGCGGCCUAUCAGCUUGUUGGUGGGGUAAUGGCCUACCAAGGCGACGACGGGUAGCCGGCCUGAGAGGGUGACCGGCCACACUGGGACUGAGAUACGGCCCAGACUCCUACGGGAGGCAGCAGUGGGGAAUAUUGCACAAUGGGCGCAAGCCUGAUGCAGCGACGCCGCGUGAGGGAUGACGGCCUUCGGGUUGUAAACCUCUUUCACCAGGGACGAAGCGCAAGUGACGGUACCUGGAGAAGAAGCACCGGCCAACUACGUGCCAGCAGCCGCGGUAAUACGUAGGGUGCGAGCGUUGUCCGGAAUUACUGGGCGUAAAGAGCUCGUAGGUGGUUUGUCGCGUUGUUCGUGAAAACUCACAGCUUAACUGUGGGCGUGCGGGCGAUACGGGCAGACUAGAGUACUGCAGGGGAGACUGGAAUUCCUGGUGUAGCGGUGGAAUGCGCAGAUAUCAGGAGGAACACCGGUGGCGAAGGCGGGUCUCUGGGCAGUAACUGACGCUGAGGAGCGAAAGCGUGGGGAGCGAACAGGAUUAGAUACCCUGGUAGUC
rnacentral:rRNA from 1 species